AAUAGAAUUGCUUAAAACAUUCCUUUUAGAUUAUAGCAAUGCAUGUUGCUGUCGCCAGUACAUAAUACACAGGACAAUCAUAACUGUGAAAGUCUAUUUAUUUCAAGAAAGAAGGAUAAUUGUCACUUACAUUGUACUUAUAUGAAAGGACAUAAAUGGGAACGAGAGAACAGAGACACAUUCAUCUGAACAGUGAAAAGAUCAAGGCACCUUCUAGAGUCCAAAGGGCAAUUUAGCAGUGCACUUUGGUUCUGUUUAUUAUUUUAUGGAAACCCUUAAGUAUGUAAUAUCAUUAUUAUUUUAUUUUGACAAUCACACACAUGAGUUGCAAAAACAAUAACAAUAAUAAAAAAAUAAACCGCUAAACCGCUAAAGGGUUCCUUAGGGGAAAUGGGGGAACUCUUUGCGCUAGCUCUGCUUUUCAGGUAGGCUGCUACAGGAUUAGUUAAAAUUAAUUUUUUAUUUUAUUUUUAACAAUCCUUUGCUGAAAUCCCAGCCAACAGCACAUUAGCCAUACUGGCAGCAAAUAACAAUCCUUUGCUGAAAUCCCAGCCAACAGCACAUUAGCCAUACUGGCAGCAAAAUCACUAUGAGGCAACAGAAUGGUCUUUUCUAAUGGCAAUAUAGAUAGUUUAACUAAAAGGUUGUGUUUGGGGAGUAAUACCUGGAGAUAAUUUUAUGAAACAGCUUUUUAGAAGGCAACAUUUUUAAGGUGACCAGCAGCUGUGGGUUAUACUUCCCAAAAAACUGUGCCAAUUAGCGGGAAGGCCAAGCAUCAUGAACUUCCUUAUCCCUUCCAGAAAAGCUGGAACACACACCAAAAAAAAAAAAAAACAGCCAGAUCAUCGUAUGAUACAAUGAACUUUCUAUACAAAAAGGACCUAUCCGCUUAAACCACUCAUGCUAGUGUAUUUAUACCGUCUGAUUACCAGAAUGCUACCGUUCUGGUCAAUAACUAGCAUUGUCCCCUGAAGCCUCCCAUUAUUUGGAUUUACAUUGGUCCUGAUAUUGGGUAGAUCAUGUAUGGUCAAACUUAGAAAAAUGAAAGCAGCUUUUAGCAUUCAAACUGCAGUGGAAAGCAUGGAGUAAAGCAUCAUAGGAGAUGUGGUCUACGGCAACUGGAAUGCCAUUGAGUCUUGGACCUUGGUUUUUUUUUAGUUUUUUUUUUUUAUUACUUUACUCGCAACUGUUACAGACUUGAUGUUAAUACAGUCCUAUAGAAAUAGUUAAUGGUAUACAUUUCUGAGAAGAAAAAAAAACACUUCUAGUGGCUGGAAGACAAAGAGCCACUAGAUGCACUUCCUUAGACCUUCAAAUCAGCUGAAAGCAUCCAAUUCAGUGCUUCUCAAUGAGAAGCAUCAAAGUAGUGAGGUUCAGAAAUUGCCCUUCUCCCUGAUGAUUCUUUACUGAGAUCACCAGAACAGAAGGCAGAGCAGCUGCCAAGUAAAGACUUAGGUGGUGUUGUAUUUUACAUUUCUUAAUUUUUAAACAAGGGAAGCCUGAAUCUACAAGGAAGGCCUGAACUUUAAAAAUAAAUAAAAUUUUAAUCUUGGAAUGAGUGAUGCUUACAUGAGUAGCCAAAAUGUACUGUAUCCAGUAUUUCAAUGAAUGGGCCACUUUCAAGUAUGGAGGUAGCUAAUCAGAGGUUGUAUGCAAUAGACAAAGUAUAUACAAUAACCUUAUUCUGCAGGUUGCUCUAUGUGGAUAUAUACUGGCUGUAGGUCAUGAGCAUUGUAGUUCAGAAACAUACCAGGUCUAAGUGGUGUUGAUAACUUCGCAUAUGAUUCUUUGUUAGUCUUUUACUGAAAUAUAUGCAGUGCAAUUGUAUAUAUAUUUAUAUAUAUAUUUACUUUAGUAGUCUCAUAUUAUCCAGAGGAAAAUGUGCAAUGAAAUGCAAUUAUUAUUAUUUAUUAUUUUAUGCUCCCACUUUUUAUCACUCUGGAAACUCCCCAAGAGAGCACGUUACCUAGUAAUUUACAAUUUGUCUGUCUUGUUACCAUGUCUACAGAGAUUUAACCACUCCUGUUUUAACACCUAUAAACCAGCAAAUACUGAAUACUUAGCAAUUACAAUUUAAUGUGCACAAUUUAGGCCCAAAAAGUGGAUUUAAAAAAAAAAAAUGCAAUUCAUUUACUUUAAACUUGGCUAUUUUGUCCUAGAUUUUUAAUUUUAAAUGGUUAUUAAAUAAAGUGAUAAAUUCCAAGUUAAGGCCAAACCAACUGAACUGGUAGCAUUGCCUACUGAUAAUAAUAAUGCAUAUUUUAUCAGUUUUUGCUCUUUAAAUUUUAUAUUCACUUUUCAUUCCCCAAUUUAGUAAAUAACCCAGUUAAAGGACCACUAUAGUGCCAAGAAAAAAAACUUGUUUUCCUGGCACUAUAGUGCCCUGAGGGUGCCCCCACCCUCAGGGUCCCACUCCCGCCGUGCUGAAGGGGGUUAAACACUCACCUUUCUCAAUGAGACAACCACUAGAGGCUGAAUUAACCCAUUUGUAAACAUAGCAGUUUCUUGGAAACUGCUAGGUUUACAGCAGGCAGGGUUAAUCCUAGAUGGACCUGGCACCCAGAACACUUCAUUAAGCUGAAGUGGUCUGGGUGCCUAUAGUGGUCCUUUAAUGUUAAAAAUAAAAUCUACACAAUUGGAUUUUUUUUAAAUAAAUAACUUUUAUCACCAGAGAUUUGAAUAAAUGUUGGCUGAGGAGGGGAUUUCCUGUAAGUUUCCCAUCUAUCACUUAGCAAAAUGCAUUAAACUGAGAACAUAAAUGUAAUUUAGUAAAUAAUCACCAUCCCCAAAUAUUACCAACGGACAGACCAGGGCUUGCUCCUCUACUCUACGCAUCCCGAAUCAUGCUAGUUUCAUAGAUCUUCAUGUUACUUGGCUUUAAGCAAAUGAAAAUGCUUCAUAUCACCAACAAAAAAAAUAAAAAUCGAAAACCUAAAAAGUAUAAAAAUUCCCUAAUGUGAUAUGAUUAUUUUAUAAACUUAAUGCAGUGCAUCACCUUCCUUGGUUAUAAAUUGGGUUUGGUAAACAAAAUAGAUUAAUCCAGGGGAAUGUCAGGAGCCGUGUUUCAAUUAUGGAGAUUUCAAUGAACAGAGACGCUUAGAUAAAGGAAGAAGCCACUCUCUGAAUUAAAUAUUUUAUAGAUUAAAUCAGUUUAAAUUAAACAUUACAGAGACAUUCCUAAUAAGAGACUGAGCUCUCCAAUCUAAACACUGAGUCCAUAAGCAGUUUACUAAAAUAGGGCGCACUCUUGCAUAAAAUCUAAGGCUGGAAUGGGUUGACAGAUAUUUAUAUUUUUAUUUAUAUUUAAAAAAGGAAAAAAACACAAUUAUUUAAAAGAUUUUCAAUUAUAUUAGUUUGCGCUGUACUGCAUAGUAUUUGCUAUUAUAUUUUUCAUUGUAAUCAAAAGACAGAGAUUGUGCUAUAACUGACCUACAACUCCCAUGCACCUCAGCUGAUAACACAAUAAUGAGAAUCCAACUGUACAAAAGACAGCAUUGGAUACGUUGCUUAUUUCUCAUACCAGGCAUCCAGUCAAAUUAAGUAUCAACAAAUGUGCAUUUUUGGACGUGAUCUAAAAAAGCAGGUCUCUUUUUUUUUUCUUGUUCUUAAGCUGAGCCCCUUAAAUUUGUAUGACCUAAAGUAAUAAAACCACUUCAAAACAGCAAUGCAAAUCUAUUAUCCCUUGUCCGCUCUCCCCCUUCUUUUCUCCAGUUUUACUCAACUUGCCCUGCACAUAGGUGCAUUUCAAUAGAACUUCUGAGGAUCUUGGCAUUUCAUAAUCUAAAGCCAUCUGAAGGAUAGCCUUGGGAAUAACUCUUUAGUAGAAGAGCUCAAAAGUGAUCAUCAAUCAACAGCAGUUGCGCAGGGUUCUAUGCUUUUCUUACAAAAAGAUUGUGUGAGUAAGGUCAAUAUGAUAGAGUCCAGAUAGAUAGGUCUAAAGUUCCUAUUUCAGGUCCAGUGCUGGCAAGAUCUGCUGUAGAGAUGCAUUGACAGGGAGACUUUGGGGCCAAAACAUUCUCCAUAAAAAGGCAACUUCUGUUGCUUCAUCAGUUUACUGAAUUAGAAAUGUUCACAAAAACUAUUAAAUUUAAAACUUAAAGAAUCCAAUUUAAUUUAAAUGAACACUCCAAGCAACUACAGUGCACUCAAGUGCUUAUGGUGGUAGUAUUGCCAUCCCGUGGUAAAUAAUUAAACCGUUUUAGUAAGGUUUGCCAACCCAGCUGGUCACCCAGGCACCUCAUGGGGGUUAAUUUGCAUGUAGAGUUGUCUGUAGUAUUAACUUGUACAUAUUAGUGCAGACCUGAUUGUAAAGCCUGCACAUAUUUGGAAUCCUGGCAAAUAUACCAUUGUCUAUUCUAGUAUAACCAUCCUCUCUAUGACUGUACAGUCAUGGAGAGUAUUUCCUCAUAUUGUUUCCUCGGCUUGCUGUAUUGUUGUACUAAUAAGCCCACAGAGUAUACUCCAAGAGCUGUUUUACUUGUUUCUAGUCUUGUCGGUAAAUAGCUACCAUAAGCGGUCACUAUUUACAAUGGUCAGUAAACUGGUGGUGACUGCUAAUGACUGAUUGGCUGGCUGACUGCUAGUAAUGUCUACUCACAAAAUUCCAAUCACUCCCAGAUUAGCCACUCGCUGAUAAAGAACACAUUGCCUAUGUACUAACUACUAGUCAAACCAAAAAAGGGUCACCAUAAGUAUAUUACUUUAUCCUAUAAUGGUCUUCCUCACACAGUAUUGCUAGUGUAUACAAUGUAUUAACCUGUGAUUCUGUGCAAUGCUAGAUAUAUAUGUAUGUAACUUUUGAUGUGAAUUUAUGCUAUACUAGUUGGUAAAGGGCAUCCAGGUAUCAUUCCAGUCACACUUCCAGAUAAUUGAAAAUGGGACAUACUCCAUACUGCUUUACAACUCUCCCAUAGAAAGCUGAAGAUAUUCAACAAAACCUUGCAAACACGAUUUAUUUAUUUUUUUCAUUUGUCUUCCUCUUCCAAAAGGAAGACAAAGCACACAGAAAACAUGGUACAAGGGCAUAGCUAGACAUGCAGAGCAGUCUGCACAUGUGCAGCUCAGAAUGGGCUGGGCAGUGAGAUGUGCAUUAGCGCCAGGCUGGCAUGCUGCUUUUUCCAGGCAUGUCUGCCCAUCUAUUGCCUAUGAAGCGUGCCACAUCGUUUACAUGCCACCCUCCCAGCCUAAUCCCAAUUUUAUACUUCCCAGUGAAACUUUGAAACAUAAAUGAGCAUAUAAAAUAAGUUAAAGUAUGUGCAUAAACGGUUCACUUAAUAACUAUCUGAAAAUUAACAAUUAUUCUUUGCAGUUCUAUGAUGAGGUAACUUGUGAGACCAGCGUAUGAUUUAAUAAUUGAGUGAUACAAUAAGUUACUUUCACCAGUAAGAAAUAUAAAAAUCCAUAUAUUUGUUUAAAAGUGUGUUUUUAGCAGUAUAAUACAAUACCUAUCCGUCCUUUAUUGAAGGAGCUUGCGAAUAUUAAAUUGGAAGACACAGGUUUAAGCUACUGAUCCCAAAAAGAAAUCUGGUACACAGAGAUAGCUAGUCACUAAUUAUACAAUGAGCUAUGUACAUAUUUUCUGUCUUAAUUUUUAAGCUGUUACUUGUUAGUGAAAUGUUUAUGCACUUAUUAGAACUUGUGCUUUACACUUAUUAAUGUUUUUAAGUGUUUUUUUGUUUUUUUGAUCUUUUUCGGCUUUGGCAUAUUCUGGGGGAUUUUAUGGUUAUAUGUUCACAGGAUUUGGAGAUAUUGUGGUUAUAUGGUUCAGUGGUUGGGUUUAUAAUACAUCUAUUAAGCAUUUAUUUUUCCUCUGGACAUUUGCACUGUCUGUUUUAUAUAUUGUUGUUUUAAGGAAUACAUUCUUGCAUGUUACUUGUGGUGGGUAUUGCUUUGAGAUGUAGAAUCUAGAAUGGGUGUUGGAAUUCUAGUAUGGAACAUUUUUUUUUUUUUUUAAACUUACUAGCAAUGAUGGGUUAACUCUCAAGAUUAGCAGUUUGCAGGCUUUAAGCAAAGCCUACAUAAAAUCUAAUGUUAUUAAGGUUGCUUUUCCUCUCCGUACAUCUGCUUGUCUUUUUUUAUUUUAUUAUUUUUAAUUUUUUUUAAAAAAAACCAUUGUUUUGCAGAUGUACUGCAGAUGUAAGUUCCAAAUAAAAGCAGCAUUGGAGAUAACAUUGCAGGCUCUGUCCAUGGUACUAACUGUACAACCACGUGUGUGUGUUGGAGGAUUCAGGGAAAUUGUUUACAAGCCUUUUCUUGAAUCUGGAACAAGGAAUUUAAUAAGUGGAUAUUAUCUAACGUCUAAAAUGUUGACAUUACAAUAAUUGGUUUAAUAAAGUGCACCGACAAAGCAUUUUCAGAGAGCGUAAGAGAGACAAGGAAAACUAUCUCACUGAGUGCAAAGCUAAGUAAGUUGAUCAUCAAUAAUCAUGACACAGUUGCAGCAUAAAAGGCAGACACAACAGAAUACUGGAUCAAGGGUAGCAUCCCGCAACACUCCACUUGCACACAUUUGAGAACUCCUAUCACUCUUUCGCAGUAACAAUGAAACUUAUGUGCAGCGGACACCCAGAAAAGGUGGUAGAAACUAGGCAUAGAGUAGAAUGCAAAAUAUAGCCUGGCAACCAGCAAUUCUUCAACAUAUUAGGACUGCAAUCCACAUCAUCCUUCAUCUGCCUCUGUCUGACAGUGAUUAGUGAGAGUUGUGGCAUAAAAGUUUGUUCGGAUCUGCUAAAAGGCAAAACCCAAGCUCAGACUGAAUGUUGGGUAAGAAGAUGGAAGACUUGAUGUAUGCGGGCAAAGUGUUUAUUUUGUGCUCUUUGUACCCUGCCAGCUGUAAGGUUCAUUGCUAUGUGUGUAUGUCUAAUCUUGCCAUAUCCGGUAACUACAUUGUGCAAAGAGACGUUAUCCAAUUUAGCCUCCCAGAUGCUGGGUGUCUUGGAGGUCACAGACUAACAGGCUUAGCUCAGACACAAAGCGGGAGAGAUGACAGUGAGCUUGACAGCUGGGAUUCCCACAUCACAUUACAGCCUACAACUGCUAACAGUCCCACUGAGUGCCCCUGGUCCCUCGGGAAGAGACUGCUAAUCCUCCCCACAAUCUCCUAUUUGUAGAACAAGGUGUAGAUUUGGAGGCGCCUCCUCGCAUGUGUGUAGGAACAGGGGGAUAAGGUGUAGGGGGAAAAAUCCUUAAAUCUGGCUUGUAAGAUUGUUUCACUGUUUAAGUAAAAUUAAAAAAACAAAACAAGUUUAAAGACUGGGUUAAUUAAUUCUAAUAGACUUCCAAGGGCCUCGAUAUGAUAUUUUUUUUCAGUUGAAAUAUAUGUAUGCUUUGUAAAUGGGGCAGAGAAUAAAUGUGCUGUCCUCUCAGAUUUACUUUGGUUCCUACGCCAUCGCCUAUUCUCCAAAGCAUGAGGCACAAAAACAGAAGGAAAUACACUCCAGAAACUAAUUAUCAAAACCUUCCAAUUGCAACAUUAGAUUUUAAAAAUGGCUAGAUGUAUGUACAUGUGCUAUAGCUGAUGGGCAUACUGCAUCAAUCAAUGAAAAUAUUUUCUGUUGAAAGUGGCACUGUCACUUUUUAGUUUUCCAUAAAGAGAAAAUCGUUAGGAACAAUUUACACAAUACUCUGUUGCAAUUUCACAGAACAUUUCAAAACAUAUACAUGAAACAGGUAGGCUAGUAUUGGAUUAUGUCAAAAUAUGGCCUCAAAAACCCAACAAAUAUAAUAUGGGAGAAAGCAAUAAUGCAUUAAUAAGCUUCCUUGUCUUGCCAUUUCCCAACUCUCAACAAUGGGGAAUAGGCAUCUUCACAUCUGUGGUACAUCAUUGCACAAUUGCAGGAUGAUCUGUGUUGGUUCCUGUGGGAUACUCAAUUGACCCUCGUUUUGUAUUUU